CGGGGUCUAAUACUGGAUAUUGACAUGAUCCCGCAUGGGGUGGUGUUGAAAGAUUUAUUGGUUUUGGAUGGACUCGCGGCCUAUCAGCUUGUUGGUGAGGUAAUGGCUCACCAAGGCGACGACGGGUAGCCGGCCUGAGAGGGUGACCGGCCACACUGGGACUGAGACACGGCCCAGACUCCUACGGGAGGCAGCAGUGGGGAAUAUUGCACAAUGGGCGAAAGCCUGAUGCAGCGACGCCGCGUGAGGGAUGACGGCCUUCGGGUUGUAAACCUCUUUCAGUAGGGAACAAGGCCAGUCGUUGAUUGGUUGAGGGUACUUGCAGAAGAAGCGCCGGCUAACUACGUGCCAGCAGCCGCGGUAAUACGUAGGGCGCAAGCGUUAUCCGGAAUUAUUGGGCGUAAAGAGCUCGUAGGCGGUUUGUCGCGUCUGCCGUGAAAGUCCGGGGCUCAACCCCGGAUCUGCGGUGGGUACGGGCAGACUAGAGUGAUGUAGGGGAGACUGGAAUUCCUGGUGUAGCGGUGAAAUGCGCAGAUAUCAGGAGGAACACCGAUGGCGAAGGCAGGUCUCUGGGCAUUAACUGACGCUGAGGAGCGAAAGCAUGGGGAGCGAACAGGAUUAGAUACCCUGGUAGUCCAUGCCGUAAACGUUGGGCACUAGGUGUGGGGGACAUUCCACGUUUUCCGCGCCGUAGCUAACGCAUUAAGUGCCCCGCCUGGGGAGUA
rnacentral:rRNA from 1 species